UCUAAUGGCGUAGUCCAUAUUGAAUCGUGAUCGAAUUAAUAGCUAAAACGUUCUCUUAUAAUACGCCUUGCGUGUUUGGAAACGUACACUUGAGCCGUAUCCAUCGCCCAGCACUUUUUUUUACCGCCCAUCGGCCAUCGCCCUGCAAACGAGGUCUUCCCCUGCCCCUAUCCAAACAGAUCGCCACACCAAAUCACGCCGCCAAUUCGAUCCUCCGAUGGAUCCGCCGACGGCAGAAGCGGUGAGUGCGGCACGGCGGCGCGGGAAUUUUCCGAGCAGAGCCUGCAGCUGGGCCGACCAUGCCGCUCGAUGAGCCCGCCCCCGCGCGCGGUGGCUCGCUCAGGCAGGCGGGCGGCCGGGCUCGACGGGGGGAUUCCAGCGAGGGCAGGUAAUCUGAAUUCAAAUUCUUGAAACAUUACCGGUGAGGCCAAGUCCGCCCCCGCCUGUCUGCUUCUUCGCCUGGCGCCGCGUCGGCAACGACGGGAACUAGCUCCAGCGACCGUGCCGCCAUCUCCGCCGCCGAAUCCCCCCAGGUCCCUGCUCUCCUCCGUUGGCAAGCAAGGUAAGCCUUGCCCUCAUCUCUUCCCUCCCUUCAUCCCCCUAUCGCUUCUUGUUGUCUUGUUGCUGCCGCAUGCCAUUGCUGCUUCUUGUUCAUGUGCCAAAUUCAAGAAAAUUGCUGAACAAUAGGCGCCUUUUUACCAUUUGCUUCUCUGUUCCAUCACACAGAGAACAUAAUUAGCAUGCAGUACCAUAUAUGCCCAUUUGUAAGUUGUUUGCAGUUUGGGUUCCUCUUUAGGAGCUCAAUUACCUGCAGUUUGUAGUAUAGACAUGAAAUUUUCUGGCAAGUUUUCUAUAUCAAAUGUGAUUAGAUGUUCCCCUAUGAAUUCUAGUAGUAAGGUAGUUGUGCUGUUAACUGACUAGAGUAUGGGAAUUCAUCUUGGUGAAAGGUGAGUGAAGUCUGACAGCUAAACAGAUUUUUGACUGUAUGGAUUGGUCCAGAGUUUCUAGUUGCAUGUUGGAGUUUGAUAGGAAUGCUACCAUUUCUCCGUAUGGCUGGGAGAAUGCAACUCUACUAAUCUGGAGUCCAAUGCUUACUGACUGGUACACCGUAAGAUAUAAAAUCUGAAUAAUUUUAUCCCUCAUGUGCCUGGUUUUGAAUUUUGCACAGCUAUUAGAGAUAUAGGAAAAGAUUAGUAUAAAGAUGGAAACCCGCACAAGUUUAAAAUACCUUAUCCUUACCUCUCUUCCUUCUGAAUUUGGUACCCAAAUUAUCUAUCUUAAAGUAAGCUACGUAAAAUAAAUUCUUAUAUGUUUGCCUCAAACAAUUGAUUAAGAUUUGGUGUUUGCUUUUUUUUGCUAGUUCAGGGGUCUCAGCUUGGCGAAAGGCGAUAGAAGUCCGGAUACUAGAAAGUUUCUUUACAGUAUUAAUUUAGCCCCUAGCAUUGCAUUGUACUCCCUCAUUUUGAAAAUAGAAGUUAUAAGUUUGUUCUAACUUAAAUAUCUGAAAGCUUAGCCCCUAGCAUUGCAUUGUACUCCCUCAUUUUGAAAAUAGAAGUUAUAAGUUUGUUCUAAAUUAAAUAUCUGAAAGCUGAACCAAAAUUAUAAAUUUGGGUUACAGCUGGAGGGGAAGUACAUUUGUAGUAAGUGCUAAGGAUUGACAGAAUAGACUCUAGACUACAAGAGUAGCUACAUAGUGUUAUGCAUGCCAUAAAAUAUAUCAAGCAUUUAUGUGCAAGUGAAUCUUGUUAGUACAUAUCAGUAUUUUGGAGCUUUUCUGUUCUUAGUUCUUAUUCUUCUGAAAGUUAGAGGGUAAGGCACACCCCUGUUGUGCAUAAUCUUUUGGCUUGUGUGGUUACUUCUUAAUUUCAGACUGCAAGUGUUUUUGUUUGGUGACCUAACUGCAUCGAGUCUACUAAACUCUGUCCAUGAAUCAUCAGGGUAACAUGAAAUUAAUUGUGAAAGAAAACACUAAUGUAUAGUGUUGUGGCGCAGCAGAGCACAACAGGAUCAAUUUUUUGCUUACUAAAAAGUCAUAAUUAUAUGCUAACUUUUUAGCUAAACGCUACUCGCUGCUGAUCUGACGCAAUUGGGCUAUGUGUUGUGCUUCGAGAGCUGAGAGCUACAGAAGCCAUUAUAUUGAGAAUAGAUGGCAUCUUAGAAGGGUAUGUAAGUCAGUCGCCUGACUUUGCUUUUUCAGUCAGAGAAUCUGUGCCUGAUUCUUGGAAGUACCAGCUAGGAAGCCAUGGAUGUUAACUUCUGUCUGCAACACUAAUACAGUAAUACUGCCAUUCUACUACUAUCUCUUUGCUCUGCUCUACCAGGUUCAUGUUGAAUCUCUGAUGUAGAUAUAGUAAUGUUGUUUGCUUUGUGCGGCAAUUGAAGAGCAUGUGGUAAUGUUGACAGCGUGGUGCUUUUUGCUGCUCCUGUUCAUGUUCAAGCAGCUGGGCACUCCUGAGCUGUGACAAAGAUAUUUGUGUCCAAUCUGAAACGGUAAAUUCACAAAGAUUUUUAUGUUCAAGGACCGUGUUCAAGUUUUAUGAGCAUAUUUAUCAUGUUCAAGUUUAUAUUUAUCCUUGGAGCUACAAUAAUAUAUUUAUAUUAUGUGA